rnacentral:rRNA from 1 species
CCUACGGGAGGCAGCAGUGGGGAAUAUUGGACAAUGGGGGCAACCCUGAUCCAGCAAUUCUGUGUGCACGAAGAAGGUUUUCGGAUUGUAAAGUGCUUUCAGCAGGGAAGAAGGAAGUGACGGUACCUGCAGAAGAAGCGACGGCUAAAUACGUGCCAGCAGCCGCGGUAAUACGUAUGUCGCGAGCGUUAUCCGGAAUUAUUGGGCAUAAAGGGCAUCUAGGCGGCCUGACAAGUCAGGGGUGAAAACCUGCGGCUCAACCGCAGGCCUGCCUUUGAAACUGUGAGGCUGGAGUACCGGAGAGGUGGACGGAACUGCACGAGUAGAGGUGAAAUUCGUAGAUAUGUGCAGGAAUGCCGAUGAUGAAGAUAGUUCACUGGACGGUAACUGACGCUGAAGUGCGAAAGCCGGGGGAGCAAACAGGAUUAGAUACCCGGGUAGUC